rfam:Capsicum annuum cultivar Zunla-1 chromosome 5, whole genome shotgun sequence
AUACUUACCUUGACGGGGUCAAUGGGAAAUCAUGAAGGCCCAUGGCCUAGGUUGGCGACCUCCAUUGCAAUUUGGAGGGGUGCUUUCCUAAGGUCGAUCCAAGUGGUCGAGCCUACGUCAUAAUUUGUGGCAGCGAGGGCUUGCGUUUGCACGGCCCCUAC